rnacentral:rRNA from 1 species
CCCCUAGAUGUUCUGGGCCGCACGCGCGCUACACUGAACAGUUCAACAAGUCUUAACCUUGGCCGAUAGGUCUGGGUAAUCUUUGAACGCUGUUCGUGAUUGGGAUAGACCUUUGCAAUUAUGGGUCUUCAACGAGGAAUUCCUAGUAAACGCAAGUCAUCAGCUUGCAUUGAUUACGUCCCUGCCCUUUGUACACACCGCCCGUCGCACCUACCGAUUGAAUGGUCCGGUGAAAUCUCGGGACGGCGGCUUGGUCGCUCGCGUCCGACUGCUGAAACUUGAUUAAACCAUAUCAUUUAGAGGAAGGUGAANUCGUANCA